GGCCUGCUAGCUCAGUCGGUUAGAGUGUCGUGCUAAACGCGAAGGUCGUAGGUUGGAUCCCUGCGCAGGCCA
rnacentral:tRNA from 1 species